AAAAAGUUUUUUUUUUUAAAAUGAAAAAGGGUAAAAAAUGUAAAACUCACAAUUUGGUAAUUCCAGGAAUAUGAAAUUGAGUAUGAAAAGUUUCAGCGCUUCCCGUUGAUAAACAAUAGAGAGUAAAGUGAUUAGAAACAUUCUUUAGCUGAGAUCUUGUUAAACUUGUUGAAUGGAUGAAUGAAAAUUCUCCUGGGUUUUCACGUUAUGAAAUUAACUUUAGACUUCUCCAAAUUAUAUCGAGCUUCUUGAGAUUUCAUAGUUUCUCACUCGAGGAAUUCACGCAUUAGUAUGUUAACAUAACUGGUGAUAAAAUAUAUUCAAAAUGUAUCGCGACAUGAUCUUAAAGUUAUUCUUGAUGAAAUGAAGUCCAGAUUUCAAAGUUAAAAGUUUCACAAUUAUGAAGUUCUACAUAUAUAUUUAUAUAUACAAUACGUGUAUUUCUUAUAAAUAAUAU